UAAAAAGACACCAGCCUGAAAGGACAGGGUUUCCAGAUGGCAUUAGGCUCCCAGCCCCUGCAGGUGUAGAGGAGCGAAAAUCAUCAAAGGCACACAAGUUCUUCCGGGCCACUUCUGGUUUGGCUCUCUGGAAAUCAGGAACCCACUAGAGGGGCAGGGGCCUCUGUUGCUGGCUAAUGGAUCUUCCUGGACCGCUCCCCAACCACCACCACCACCAGAUACCUCCACUUAGCCACAGUUCCCAGGAAAGACCUCUUCCUUCCUUCCAGUACCAUCAGUCACCAAUGACCAGACUGACAACUACUAGUGGGUGCCAGGCCACCUUGGUCUCUCACCUGUUGUAAUCCAGAAGUGUGUGCAUUGUGGGCCCCACCUGCUUGGAGUACCAGGAUCUCUGAAACCCGCCACACCUGGGCUGGACAUCCCAUCACCUCGACUUCCACCCUGAGUAAGUCCCUUUCCCUAUCUGUGCCAGCUUCCUUGUGUAUAAAUGGAAAUCACAACACCCUCCCACCUCAAAGAUAACUAUGCAGAGGAAACUAGAUCAUGUUUGUUGAAUGACUACCACUCUGCUGGGGACUGGAGGUGCCUGAUACACCUUAUGGUUAAUAUCAGUAUUCUGGCAACAACAUGCAGUGAGCCAACCACAUCUGUAGCAGUCGUUUAAUGUUUCCUCAAAAGACUUGGAGUCCUUUCAUCAGCUCUCUUAGGAGCAGUGUGAUUUGGAGACAAGUCACCUCUUGUCUCCAAACUGCAGUUGUAAAAUGGAGAUAAUUCCCAUUGCUCCGGGAGCAAAUGUGCAAGAAUUUACAAACAAUAAAGUUGCUAUAAAGUGUCGAAUUAUAACUAAGGUGGGACCUAGAAGGAAUACACACACCAGGAAAGCAUAAUCCAGGCAGCUACUUGCAGCUCUGGAAUGCACAUAGCAAGUAAAAGUCUUGGGUCUUUUCCUCCUCCCCAGUUUUAUUGCCCUGUAAUUAACAAAAAUAAGGAAGCUGAAGAGGCCCAGUCAGUCUUAUCUGGAUCUUAUACCACCCAGCAGCCACUGUCACUUGGUAGCACACAACAUCAUUGUGGAAUUGUAAAAGCCCUCUCAGGGCUGACAUGGCUCAGCAGGUAAAGGGCUUUACUGCCAAAGCCUGAAGACCUGAGUCUGAUUCCCCACCCCCCACCCCCACCCCUGGUUAUGGAAAGAGAGAACCCAUUCCAACAAGUUGGCCUCUCACAAGAAUUCUAGAGAACUCAUUUGCAACCCCCAGCAUAGUACAAAUUAAAAAAAAAAAAAAUGAAACAAAAGCUUUCUGAGCUUGGACAGUGUGAUGCCUGGAUAAAAUGUCACAUUUUUUUUUCUUUCUAAGAUCUUUUCUUUUGUCUUGUGACAGUGUUUCACUGUGUUGCCUCUGACUGGCCUGGAACUCAAUUUGUGGACCAGGCUGGCCUUGAACUCACAGAGAUCUACUUGACUUUGCCUGCCUAGUGCUGGGAUCAAAGGUGUGCACCACCACCCUGCUGUUUUAUUUAUAUGUAUGUAUAUGUGUGAGUAUCUGCAGAUUAUUGGGGAGGUUUGAUUCCCUGGAGCUGGAUUUGUAGACACUUGUGGGCCACCUGAUAUAGGUGCUGGGAAUUGAAGCCAGGUCCUCUGGAAGAGCAGUCAGGGCUCUUAACCUCUGUGCUCUCUAUCUGGCCUCUGGGGUCACUGCACACACAUAGCACACACACAUACAAGAAGAAUAAAUACCCAUACACAUAAAAUAAAAAAUAAUUGCUCCCACUUCUUAGCUGGCAUUGGGUGUUUCCAGCCCUCAAUAAGGGUGAGGUAGGUGACAGACAGGUAAAGUCGAUGGUGUCGGAGGCUGUCUGUCUGUUUCAGCUGGCUGUCUCACCUGUCUGUCUGUCUCAGCUGGCUGUUGCCACACAACAAAAUUAUCACUAAAUGCAGUGACUUAAACAACCUUAUUGAGGGCUGGCACAGCAGUUACAAACACUGCCUAUCCUUUCAGAGGACCAGGGUUCAAUUCGUAGUAGCCACAUGGCAGAUCACAACUGUCCCUUGCCAGUUGCAGGGGAUCCAAGGAACACACAUGCAUGCAUAUAUACUAAACAUAUAUACUAUACAUAUAUACUAUACAUAUAUACUAACAUAUAUACUAAAAAUAACAUUAAAAAUAUUAACCUUAGCUGGUAAGCGGUGGUGGCACGCCUUUAAUCCCAGCACUUGGGAGGCAGAGGCAGGCAGAUCUCUGAGUUCAAUGCCAGCCUGUUCUACAGAAUAGCCAGGGAUACACAGAGAAACCCUGUCUUAAAAAACCAAAACCAAGCCAGGCGUUGGUGGCGCACACCUUUAAUCCCAGCACUUGGGAGGCAGAGGCAGGUGGAUCUCUGUGAGUUGGAGGCCAGCCUGGUCUCCAGAGCAAGUGCUAGGACAGCCUCCAAAGCUACACAGAGAAACCCUGUCUCGAGAAACAAAAAAACCAAACAAACAAAAAAAAAAAAAAACAAAAAACAAAAAACAAAAACCCAACGAAGAACACAAAAACAUACCUAUCGUGGUGACCCAUGCCUGUAGUUUCAUCUACUUGGGAGACUAAGGUGGAACGAUCACUUGAGUCCAAGAGUUUGAGACAACAUAUCAAGAUUUUAUCUCAAACACAACAACUGAGGAGGAGCUGGGUGAUGACUCAGUGGAUAAACACUUGACAUACAAGCAUGAAGACCAGAGUUCAGAUCCCCAGCACCCACAUAAAAGCCAGCAUGAGUGCUAGGGCUUAGUAAGAGGCCUUGCCUGACUUAGGAGGUAAAGUAGGAAGCUGAUUGAAAAAGACACGUGACAUCAACCUCACCUGUAUGCCUAUAUACAUGCAUAUCACAUACACACACAGUAAAAAUAAAACAAAAAAAUCAUAGAUUCUGAACUCCCAAAUCAUCAAGAGACCCGAUCUGAUGCAAAAGCAAAGAGUCUUUUAUUGUUGUUUAAUGAGCUAACUGCAUUAACUGGGGCCCUUCAUCCAUUCAUUGAGGCAGAUGGCAGGAGAAGGACCCCAAGAAACCAAGAGGUGGGGAACUUAUUGGGCAGUGUAAGGGGAGUGUCUAGGGGUACGCAACAGACUCAGGAUUGGUGAGUUUCCAGCUUUGGAUGACCUGUCCUGUGGUGAUUGGUCAACUGGUUGUUAUGGCCUGUAGGCCCUGCCAGGGCGGUUGCUAUGCUCAGCACGUCAAUGUUAUGCCACUUUUACCAUAAAGCAUGUCAGCUAACUUCUGAUUGGUUCCUUGCCACGUAGGUAUCUGAUCUUCUAGUGACUGGGAGGAGGAGCAAGGUCAGGCAAGCACAUGUUGAGUCUUUUCUGCUGCCUGUCAUAGAUGCUAAAGCAGGGGGCUGGUCCCUUCAGAAACCAUCACCUUACUGCGAUAUAGUUUCUGUGCUUUGGGAACUGGGAGCAGCCAGAUGGCUGCCCAUGCCUCAGCUUCUGGCUUCUAGACUGUAACCAGUAUACCAGCCACAGUUGUAGGCUUAGCUGUGGUGACCUGUUUCCAGGCUCACUUUGUGACUGACAGUAGCCUUGGGGCCUCUUUCGGUUGGUGGAGACAUCAGCUCCUUCCCAUAUGUGCCUCUCCUCAGAUGGCCAGCCACAUACCAGUUAGUGUUCCCCAGAGUAGGAACCUUGAGAAAGAGCAUGGGUCCCAUGGUGUCACAGCCUACAUAUAUCUGACUCUCAGGACUUUAUUUUGUUUUUAAAAGUUUGUCAUUACAUUUAUUUGUUUAAAUGUGUGUGUACACACAAGGUAGGAGAGAUCAGAGGACAACUUGUAAGAUUUGGCUCUCUCCUUCUACAAUGUGGGUCCUGGGAAUUGAACUCGGGUCUCCAUGUUUGGCAGCAAGAGCCUUUUCUCACUGAGCCAAAUCAUUCACCUCAUUUUCUAUUCUUUAGACAGAGCCAAAAGGUUUAGCCUGGGUUGAAGCAUGUGAUAGCUCCAGACAGAGGGCACUGGGAGACAACUACCAUACAAGGCUGGAAAUGAGUCCAGUGUCAACUUUAAGAGGAGGGUCAAAGGAGCUUCCCCUCCCAGGUCUCAGUCUGAAUACUGGUGUGUGGGUGAAGCAUCAGUCUUCUGGGCUGUGAGUCAGGAGGAGCUGGUCACAUGACUGUGACCUGCCUUAAAGGUUGGGACACUCCCUCCACCCAACAGUCAGGCAGUCAUUAUAGGCACCCAAACAGCAGAAUGUUGUUGCUCUUCUGGAAAUAGACUUCUGGCAUUGACCAAGGGUCAGUCACUCUGGAGUUAACUCCAGCAAGCCGCUCCCAUGACCCUUGAUCAGACUUUAAAAAAAUUAAACCUUCUGAGCCUGGAGUAUGCUGUGAUCCCAGCACUUGGGAGGUAGAGGCAGGAGGAUAGUGAGUUUGAGGACAGGUUGAGCUGUACAAGGAAACCCUGUCUUAAACUAAUAAAAUAACAAUCAUUCUUUAUUGGGAGGUCAGUAGAUGAAUCUACUUGGCAUCUCUCUAGGGCACCACUCUGUA
ensembl:lncRNA